rnacentral:tRNA from 1 species
GGGGUUGUGGCUCAGUGGUAGAGCACUUGCCUAGCAUGUAUGAAGCACACACUGCACUACUGAGGUACACCCCCA